GAUGAACGCUGGCGGCGUGCCUAAUACAUGCAAGUCGAGCGAACAGACGAGAAGCUUGCUCCUCUGAUGUUAGCGGCGGACGGGUGAGUAACACGUGGAUAACCUACCUAUAAGACUGGGAUAACUUCGGGAAACCGGAGCUAAUACCGGAUAAUAUUUUGAACCGCAUGGUUCAAAAGUGAAAGACGGUCUUGCUGUCACUUAUAGAUGGAUCCGCGCUGCAUUAGCUAGUUGGUAAGGUAACGGCUUACCAAGGCAACGAUGCAUAGCCGACCUGAGAGGGUGAUCGGCCACACUGGAACUGAGACACGGUCCAGACUCCUACGGGAGGCAGCAGUAGGGAAUCUUCCGCAAUGGGCGAAAGCCUGACGGAGCAACGCCGCGUGAGUGAUGAAGGUCUUCGGAUCGUAAAACUCUGUUAUUAGGGAAGAACAAAUGUGUAAGUAACUGUGCACGUCUUGACGGUACCUAAUCAGAAAGCCACGGCUAACUACGUG
rnacentral:rRNA from 1 species